AGGUUAAGCUAGAAAGGGCGCACGGUGAAUGCCUUGGCACUAGGAGCCGAAGAAGGACGCGACGAACAGCGAAAUGCCUCGGGGAGCUGUAAGUAAGCUUUGAUCCGGGGAUAUCCGAAUGGGGGAACCCACCAUCCGUAAUGGGAUGGUACCCAUACCUGAAU
rnacentral:rRNA from 1 species